CAAUAAGCGGAGGAAAAGAAACCAACAGGGAUUGCCUUAGUAACGGCGAGUGAAGCGGCAAAAGCUCAAAUUUGAAAUCUAGCACUUUCAGUGUUCGAGUUGUAAUUUGAAGAAGGUAACUUUGGAAUUGGCUCUUGUCUAUGUUCCUUGGAACAGGACGUCACAGAGGGUGAGAAUCCCGUGCGAUGAGAUGUCCAAUUCUAUGUAAAGUGCUUUCGAAGAGUCGAGUUGUUUGGGAAUGCAGCUCUAAGUGGGUGGUAAAUUCCAUCUAAAGCUAAAUAUUGGCGAGAGACCGAUAGCGAACAAGUACAGUGAUGGAAAGAUGAAAAGAACUUUGAAAAGAGAGUGAAAAAGUACGUGAAAUUGUUGAAAGGGAAGGGCUUGAGAUCAGACUUGGUAUUUUGCGUUCCCUUCCUUUUUGGUUGGGUUCCUCGCAGUUUACUGGGCCAGCAUCGGUUUGGAUGGUAGGAUAAUGACAUUGGAAUGUAGCUUUACUUCGGUGAAGUGUUAUAGACUUUGUUGAUACUGCCUAUCUAGACCGAGGACUGCGUCUUU
rnacentral:rRNA from 1 species